rnacentral:lncRNA from 1 species
AUGCCAGAGGCUCUAUUUCCUAGCAUUUUACAGCUCCUAUAACUGUAGAAUGGUUGUAGGUCACAGGUAUAACCAAUGAAAACACAACCUAAGAUACAAAUCAGGAGCUACUGAUGCAAAGAAUGGGGACCAGGAGGAAGAGUUUCUUCGAGACCUGGUGGUUGAAGAGCAGUGGAUCAUUCUUGGCUGUGGUGGGAGAGGUGCUGAACGUUGUUCACGCUGGCUAUGUCAUGAGUGGAAUCUAUGGCGUCAAGGCUAGAGCUGGAGGGAAUGGGCUCCCCAUUGAGGUGAUGGACUUCAUCCCUGGUGCUAUUCAAGCAGUGGCUGUGGGCUUCCAGUCAGGGAUGCAGUGAAUGAGCCUCUUAUACCAGAGAAGGAUGGAUAGAGAAAAGCAUCAUUACAAAAGUGAAAUGUGUGAAUUUUAUUCUGGCUUUGAACAUUGAGUAGACGAAGAAGACAAUUCCAGACGGAGGAAACUCCACAAGAAAUAUCAUGGAAAUUUGAAAGAACACAGUGGGCUUGGGAAGAGAGAUCUCAGUGGUGGAAGCACCAUCAUCCCAAGGAGACUUAGGGUGCUUCCAAGACCAAGAUAACCAGGCAAUCAUAGUAGAUGCAUCAAUGCACCCUUGCCCAAGGGCCUAGACAAGAGGUAUUGUUUAGCUUCGCAUGAAUUUUAUCACCUUGCCUAGAACCAGCCACCAUCUGCCAGGGCUCCUGACUUUUUCUGAAAUGAAUAGACACUAAAGCCUGCUGGGGAAUUUCAUGGAAAUCAAGAUGACUCAACCCAGAGUCCAUUUCAAGGCUAGGAUGCUAGAGGACGCCAACAAAGGAGUAGGGAAGUGAAACGGAUCAGCUCACAUCCAAGCCCUUGCAUGAUCAAUCCUGCAGUAGGAGUGCUGCUCAGUUGGGACUCAUGAGAGCCCGGAAGAGGAAAAAGCAGCUCUAAGCAUAGCAAAGAAGCUGUUAUGGAAAAGACCCAAAUGUUAAAAUGGUGGACAUAGUAAAGUGAUUGGUUCUGCUUAGGGGAAUCUAGAUCCCCACAUUUUGACCUCCACUGGAGUCUCAGAAGAACAAGUGCCAGGGGGGCUUGCCACAGAGGCCAAGGCAGUGAAUGUCAGGCACAUCACAGUCCCCAAGAUGGGGAGAAGACUGAGAUGCAGGGUAACAACUGCAAUCCAUUCAUGGGAGCCAUGUUUAUCUUAAAUCAUUGACAGUGAGAUAAGGAUCAUGUCAGCCUUCAUACCUUUGAUGAUGAUCCCAGGCUGCAACAGUGACACAUAGAACUGGAUUCAGUAACUAACUACAGAUUCCAUCAACCAGGACUAGUAAAGUGAAAGGCAGAAAUUGGGAGGAGGGGUUUCUUUCUUGCUUAUAAAACUUUAUUUGGUUGUGUUGAGUAUGUGCAUGUAUGUAUGAAAUCCCAUAAAGCAGUCUUCUUAGGAACAAGCCAACAUGCCACAAUGUAGGAGAUCUUUGGAGCACUGGCCUAAAUGGCAGAGAGCUCAAGGGACUCUGCUUUGUACAAGGCAUGAUUUGUACCACCACCACUAUCCCUGUUUCAGAGCACUGUUGAAUUGUUCCAAACCUGGAUUUCUAUGUCAGCUCCCUGUCUAUAGUACUUGACUGAUAAAUGCUAGUUUCUGAAAUCUGCUUUGGUUCUAUAAUUUAUUAGACAGCUUUUUCUUCCCAUUUUAUUACUUGUUUUUACUGUCAUUGGUAUAUUAUCUCUUACAGUGAAAACAUUCAUAGGCUGAUUGAAGAGAAGAUCUGAAAUUAUUAGGCAGCAAGCAUACAAAACCCUUGCUUUAUAAAGAUAAUAUCUUAAAGGCCUAAUGUCUAUGGUUCAAAGCAGCCUGGAGAUGUUGGCUAAAUCUUCCAUCAUAGAGUCCUCAUGGGAUCUGGAAGCUCUGAUUUAUCUUCCUUCAGGCCCUAUAAGUUAGCUUUCCACAUCUGUAGGUUCCACA